CGCCGCGACCCGAGCCCGGGGAGCCCGGGGAGCCCGGGGAGCCCGGGAGCCGCGGCCGCCGCACACAAAGGCGCGGCCACGCGAGCCGCGGGAGAGCGGGAGGCGGCCCGGGGGACGCGCCCCGCCGGGGCACCGAGGCAGCGCUGCGCGCGGGCCGUGCGCCCGGGGCGCGGGGCGCGGCGCGGGGGCCCGGGCGGCGCGGCGAGUUCAGGUGCGCGGGGCGAGGCUGGGACGGCGGCGGCGGCGGCUGGCCCCGCUCCUCCUCCUCCUCCCGGGCGGACUGAGCAGAGGAGCGGCGGAGACAAGGGGCCCGGCCCCUCCCCUCCUUCCCCCCUCCUGCUCCGCCGCCGGUCCCCUCCCCGCGCCGCCGCCGCUCCGCCCCUCCCACCGCGGGCAGCUGGCGCGCCGCCCGCCCCGCCGGUGCGCUCCCCGGCCCGGCCCGCCCCCGGGCGCGCCGACCCCGCCCCGGCCCGCCCCGGCCCGCCCCGCCCCGCCGCGGCCCCUGCCCCGCGCCCCGCGCCCCGCGCCCCGCGCCCCGCGCAGCCCGGCAGCGCCCGUCGCGCGCGCCGCGGCUCCCCCUCCCGGGCCCCUCUGCUCCCCACCUCGCCCCCCUCCCUCCCUCCCGGUCCUCUUUGUCCCCGAUGCCUCGGAGCGCUCCUCGCUCCCUUCCAAGCCUCGGCCGCCGGCCCGGUGCCCGGUGUGGCCCUCCCAGCCCCCCUGCCGCGCCCCGCGGCGCCCGGCCCCCGGCUCCCGUCGCGGCGUCCCCUCGCCGUCCGCUCCCUUGCCGCCCCUCGCCCCGUUUGUCCCUCGUGGGGCCGGCCCCCGGCCCGCCUGCCCUCCGCCGCCCUCCCGCGCGAAUGGCCCCUGCUCGGCGGCACCUCCCCGGCAGCCAGCCCGCGGGAGGGCCUCCCGGGGGCCGGGGCCGGGCCCCCAGGUACACCUGUGGUGUUCUCCAGGAGGGGUGUUGGGGCCUGACCUUUCACAGGAAGGGAAGUACCAUGUCUGCUGAAACACCUUCUAGUGCUUUCUGGCUUCAAACCAACAGCAAGCAGUUUCUUUCAUUCACAGCUGACAAAAGUCCUUUUCAGAGCCUGAAACUCGCUGAACCCACUAAGAGACAUCCAGCCCUAACAAGUAGGUCAGUCCAAGAACCUUCUUUGUCUGGGACUUGAGACUCUCCUCCUCCACCAAGUGCCACCCUUCUGCACUCUCAAGUAGCUCUACUAGAAACCAGUGGGAGCCCCAACACCACCAGAUAUAAAAAGCAGAUUAAAAUAAUUCCACAAAGGCUCUGAAAAUUAAAUUGCUUUUAAACAUGUUCAUCCUGGGAUCAUAUCUCAGCUCUACCUCUUGCCAAGACCUGCGUGCUAAACCUAAAGAGCCUGCUAAAAUAAAAGAUAUAAAUAAGACCCAGCAUCUUUUAACAAUAACAGCUAAAAGUCCAGAAUACAAUAAAAAACCAUCAUACCAAGCAUCAAGAAAAUCACAAUGUGAAUAAGGAAAGACAACCAGCACUGAGCUGAAUCAGAUACUGGAAUUAUAUGACAAGGAUUUGAAAGCAGCCAUCAUUAAAAUGUUUCAACAAUCAACUACAAGUUUUCUUGAAACAAAUUAAGAAAAACAACAGAAAAUCUCAGCACAGAAAAAGGAGUUAAAAAAAAAAAGAAAAAACAAGCAGAAAUUAUAAUCUUAAAAAUACAAUCAGAGGGAUAGAAAGGGCUUAUCUCCCAGCUGGGUCAGCACCUUCAAAGAACCCCAGAAGAACCACUGAAUGAUUUCCAAAUUUAAUUUCACUGGAUGUUUUUUAGCUACAAGGGAGUCUGGGAAAUGUAGUCCCUAUGCUGAGCCACCAGGGAUAGAUUGGCGUUUUGUUUAUUGGGUCAAAGGCAGGAAUAAGGAUUGAAUUAUUAACUACUCAUGUCUACCACUGAAACAAAUGGCUCAUAUCUGAGAAUGAGACUAAGGCUCUGGGAGUUAGUAUUGGAAUAUGGACUUAUUAUGAAUAAGACUAGAGAAAUUGUGUGACUGUUAAGGAGGAUGAUGAUUUUUUGGUUGGGUCUGGCGUGAUCCACAGUCACCAUGAUUCCUAAGAGAUGGCAUAACGACAACUUGAUAUGACCUAAUGUCACUAACAUCUCAACAGGCUCACCUUCUCAGGAAAGGCCACUUAAUUACCUGAUUAAUUUGCUCAUCUUAAUUAACUUGUCCCUAUUGUUGAUAACCUUGUAUUGAUUGCUCUGCUGGUAGUAAUUAGAAAAGUGGUAGAGAGGUAAAUGGAGAAGCCACAAAGAGGGAAAACAGAGCAUGCACUCCUGUCUCAGGAAUCUACCCUCUAGACUUUGAACUCAACACUUUUGUUUCUCCCUCUGGGUAAAUAUAUUAGAAAUGCAAGUCAUUUUCGCUGGUAAUCAUUUCUACCUACCCCACAUUCCUUCUUAGAGGAUCUGCCCUUGACCUUUUUUCAAAUAUUUUGCUGACACAGUCCUCCUUCCUCAGCUACAGCUGAGUGGUCAAUGGAUGAACCCGUAACCUAAGCUGGACAGUUACAUUCUAUUUUUUUUUUAGAUUUUUGAAUCGGAGCAUAAAGAAACAGUAUCAGUUAACUUUGGGUGCUGAAACUGCAUCAUUCUGUAGAUUUGGAGGGUGGCCAGGGUAGCCAUUUUGUGGCUGCCAUCUUGGACCUUAAACUCCAUCAGCAACCAGAGAGAGCUGGUCAGUCAAGCUCGCCAGACUCCUAAUGGCUUUACAAUUCCUGGUCCCAGUCUCUUGUCCUUUACCCAUACUUCUUACUCCGGGCUUUACAUGAUACUUCUGAUUCUUUUACAGAAGUUUUUUUGUACAUAAGAUCACUCAAUUUGGUUGCCAUUUCUUGCAACCCAGUGAGCCCUUAAUAUAGUAAAGCACUCUCAUUGUUGACUUAUCUUCAUUUUAACCUUAAACCCCUCUGAAAUGCAUAUGUAAGAGAUCUAUGAAAAAUCAGUAAAAUGGGAGUGCUAUCAAAAAUGUAAACUGAGGGGUGCCUGGGUGGCUCAAUGGUUGAACAUCUGCCUUUGGCUCAGGUCAUGAUCCCGAGGUUCAUGGAUGGAGACCCGCAUAAGGCUCCUUGCAGGGAGCCUGCUUCUCCCUCUGCUUAGGUCUCUGCCUUUCUCUGUGUGUCUCAUGAAUAAUAAAUACAUAAAAUCUUUUGAAAAAUGUAUAAACUGAGAACAGAUUGUUGGUUGGCAGAGACUGGAGGUGGGGAGUGGAAGAAAUGGAUGAAGGUGGUCAAAAUGUACAAACUUCCAGUUAUAAGAUAAAUAAGUUCUGAACAUGUAACAUAUACUGUGGUGACUAUGGUUAAUGAUAUUGUAUUGUAUAUUUGUACACCUCUGAGACAGUAAACCUGAAAAGUGAAUCAUAAGAAAAAUGAUUGUAACUAUGUGAGGUGAUGAAUGUGAACUAAACCUAUUCUGGUGAUCAUUUUGCAGUGUAUACAUAUACCAAAUCAUUUUGUUUUGUACCUUAAACUAAUAUGAUAUUAUGUGUUAAUUAUAUCUCAAUAAAACUGGAAAAAAUGUAUAAAGUGAUAAACUGUUCUGGCUUCCAUCAGGCCCAGUGCCUAAUUCUUUCCCACCCAUUAACUCAUACUCUGCCUAUCAUUAACAUGUCACUGUAUCCCCACUGAUUUAAGUCCUUUGGGACCCCCUGAUUCCCAUAUCCCACCCAGAUUCCCAGAACUCUAUUGCCUCCCAGAGGUAAUCAUAGUCAACACUUAGUUCCAGUGAUUUUGGCUUGGAGCCAUGGCAUUGCAAAGCUAGUAUUGAAGUAAUGCUCUCUCACCUAAUUUGAUUGAAUUGAGUGUUCCAGUAAAACUGGUGAUGUUUUCCUUGCUACAGGGUCCAUCCUAAUGAACAAAUGCUGCCUCUCUUUCAUAGAAGGCUGAAAAUGUGGGCUUAUAAAGAAAACCUUUACAAUCACUUCUUGGUGUCUCAGAGAUCAUCCAACAUAAUUAAACAUGGGGCUAGGUUGGGAAAUGCUAAAAUAAGCCCAACUUAGAGUGCACAUAUGUCUUUCAUUUACUAUUGUGGCAUCAAACUUUGACUAUUUCCUCAAACUUUGCCUAUUUAUUGUUUUCCUGAAACUUUGGCUAUUUAUUGAAAAUAUAAUAGAAGUAAAAGAGCCAAUACAAAUUUAAAGUAGCCUAAUCAAUGAGACAGAGCCAUGACCAUCUGGAGUCUCAUGUUCCCAACACCUUUAUCUAGAGUCUUCAUAAGCACUGACUGAAUUCGUACAAGUCAAAUAAACAAGAACAGCUCCAAAUUUUGUUGAAUAGAAUAAAGGUAUUAUUACAAAUAACAACCAGUACGGAGAAAAUUCAUAUGCUACUUACAACUCUUUGAUAGCUACCCAAUCCCAAGGAUUUUUAUGAGUCCUGAAACAGCAGAAAUCUGGAAGCUCAACUCUAGAAGACUGAAGAGCCUCAUCAUAGCCUUGAAUUUAAGUCAAUUGUAGAAGGACAAACAUUAUAUGGUCUCAUUCAUUUGGGGAAUAUAAAAAAUAGUGAAAGGGAAUAAAGGGGAAAGGAGAAAAAAUAAGUGGGAAAUAUCAGAAAUGGAGACAAAACAUGAAAGACUCCUAACUCUGGGAAACGAACUAGGGGUGGUGGAAGGGGAGGUGGGCGGGGGGGUGGGGGUGACUGGGUGACGGGCACUGAGGUGGGCACUUGAUGGGAUGAGCACUGGGUAUUAUUCUAUAUGUUGGCAAAUUGAACACCAAUAAAAAAUAAAUUUAUAAAAAAAAAAGAAAGAAAGAAACUAACUCUUCAUUUCUUAAAACAACACUUUUUUGGGUCUCUGUUACUAGAAUCUAACCUAAUACUCAUGAAUGCACAAGUUUCUGUAUUGACAAGUAUGUGUCUACAACAUCAUUUAAAAGGCAUCAUGGGGGAUCCCUCGGUGGCUGAGCGGUUUAGUGCCUGCCUUGGGCCCAGGGCGUGAUCCUGGAGUCCCGGGAUCGAGUCCCACAUGGGCUCCCUACAUGGAGCCUGCUUCUCCCUCUGCCUGUGUGUCUCUGCCUCUCUCUCUGUCUCUCUCUCUCUGUGUCUCUCAUGAAUAAAUAAAUAAAAUCUUAAAAAAAAUAAAAUAAAAUAAAAUAAAAGGCAUCAUGGUAUUCCAGGACAAGGAAAGAGCACAACUUACUCAUCCAGCCCAUUACUGUAGGAUGUUUAAGCUAUUUCCGACAUUUUUC
rnacentral:lncRNA from 1 species